CACGCCGUAAACGAUGAAUACUAGGUGUAGGGGCCGUUAGGCUUCUGUGCCGGAGCGAACGCAAUAAGUAUUCCGCCUGGGGAGUACGGCCGCAAGGUUGAAACUCAAAGGAAUUGACGGGGGCCCGCACAAGCAGCGGAGCAUGUGGUUUAAUUCGAAGCAACGCGAAGAACCUUACCAAGGCUUGACAUCAUCUUGAAUAUGGUGGAAACAUCAUAGUCCUUCGGGACAGGAUGACAGGUGG
rnacentral:rRNA from 1 species